ACGGUCAUACCACAUUGAAAACACCGGUUCUCGUCCGAUCACCGAAGUUAAGCAAUAUCGGUCAGUACUUGGGAGGGUGACCACCUGGGAACACCGGGUGCUGUUGGCU
rnacentral:rRNA from 1 species